CAUUUUAUAUUCAUAAAGCGCAUAGUCGGCACAAGUUCGUCUCUCUAUGUGCCUAACCUAUAAUUAAAUCACUCAUUGUUUUAAAUUCAAUCGAAUGAUCGUGCGGAAGUUCACUUUGUGCGUUCUAGAAUGUUCCAUUGGAAUUACACAACCCAAACAAGAUAUCAGCGCAAUCGCUUUGGCGAGUCGAAUGAUGACUGUAAUCCACGUAAAAAAGCUGAAACUGCUGGACAUAAGAGCUUGACUUAGUUCUUGCUUAUUUUUACUGUGGAUAACGACGCGUGAACAUCGAUUCAUUAGCAAGGAGGCCAAAAAUACGACGGAAAAGUUGCUACGAGCCCUCAAUACGGAUUGGCAAGUUCUGGAAAAAGAGUAAGGAGUAAGUGUUCGCCAAUUAUAACCUGUCAUCAAACACCCUUAAUGUAAGUCACAAGUCACGGUUUACAAGAUUUCUGAAGCUCAUUUAACAAGACAUCGCAAUUGGUUUAACCUUACCGUAAACGGGAGCCAUUCGAAGUACAAAAAGAGAAGUCGAAAAUAUCUGAUGCAAGAUUUCUGUGAGGGUUAAUUUCUGCUGGAGAAAGAAUCAGCACCCUGAAAAACCACAUACGGGUACUACUAGCUCGGAUCAGAACGAAGAAAACUGUUCUCCCGUUUUGUUAGUUCAAAGAACAGGAAAAAGCUCAGGUGUUGGUUCAAUUGACGAAAAACCUUCGCAGGUUUGCAUUCAACAGUUUUGCAAA